rnacentral:tRNA from 1 species
CUGUGUGUGUGCGUACGUGGUUUGGGACCAUGGGGUCGCAGGUUCGAAUCCUGUCACCCCGACCA